rnacentral:rRNA from 1 species
GAUGAACGCUGGCGGCGUGCCUAAUACAUGCAAGUCGAGCGAACAGACGAGGAGCUUGCUCCUCUGACGUUAGCGGCGGACGGGUGAGUAACACGUGGAUAACCUACCUAUAAGACUGGGAUAACUUCGGGAAACCGGAGCUAAUACCGGAUAAUAUAUUGAACCGCAUGGUUCAAUAGUGAAAGACGGUUUUGCUGUCACUUAUAGAUGGAUCCGCGCCGCAUUAGCUAGUUGGUAAGGUAACGGCUUACCAAGGCAACGAUGCGUAGCCGACCUGAGAGGAUGAUCGGCCACACUGGAACUGAGACACGGUCCAGACUCCUACGGGAGGCAGCAGUAGGGAAUCUUCCGCAAUGGGCGAAAGCUUGACGGAGCAACGCCGCGGGAGUGAUGAAGGUCUUCGGAUCGUAAAACUCUGUUAUUAGGGAAGAACAAAUGUGUAAGUAACUAUGCACGUCUUGACGGUACCUAAUCAGAAAGCCACGGCUAACUACGU